rnacentral:lncRNA from 1 species
CAAGGUCACCCAGUUCCAGAGUGAGGGGACGUGCAGAGGGUGUGGACACUGGUGUAAAAUUACAACUGAGAAGGCCCCCACCCUAGGGGAAAGGUGCAUCUGGUGAGAACGGAAAUUCACUUUAUGUUUUCUUCAGUGGAAGUCACUUCAGGCUGAGGGGUCUGGGGGUCAGAGGUUCGGUGCCAUGGAUCUACUGGCCAGCAAGGUGCCAGCUCAGGUGGGCGUUUCCGAAUCUCAGUUUGCCUGAUUUGUAAAAUGAGAUGAUAAACUCCUCCCU